CGGAGGGCUAGCGUUGUUCGGAAUUACUGGGCGUAAAGCGCACGUAGGCGGGCUGGCAAGUUGGGGUGGAAAUCCCGGGGCUCAACCCCGGAACUGCCUCCAAAACUUCCAGUCUUGAGGUCGAGAGAGGUGAGUGGAAUUCCGAGUGUAGAGGUGAAAUUCGUAGAUAUUCGGAGGAACACCAGUGGCGAAGGCGGCUCACUGGCUCGAUACUGACGCUGAGGUGCGAAAGCGUGGGGAGCAAACAGGAUU
rnacentral:rRNA from 1 species